GAGUUUUGCUCUUGUGGCCCAGGCUGGAAUGCAGUGGCGCGAUCUCGGCUCACUGCAAGCUCCACCUCCUGGAUUCAAGUGAUUCUCCUGCCUCAGCCUCCCGAGUAGCUGGGAUUACAGGUGCGUGCCACCAUGCCCGGCUAAU
rnacentral:lncRNA from 13 species